rnacentral:rRNA from 1 species
UGGGGAAUCUUAGACAAUGGGCGCAAGCCUGAUCUAGCCAUGCCGCGUGGGUGAUGAAGGCCUUAGGGUCGUAAAGCCCUUUCGCCGGGGAAGAUAAUGACGGUACCCGGUAAAGAAACCCCGGCUAACUCCGUGCCAGCAGCCGCGGUAAUACGGAGGGGGUUAGCGUUGUUCGGAAUGACUGGGCGUAAAGCGCGCGUAGGCGGAUCAGAAAGUUGGGGGUGAAAUCCCGGGGCUCAACCCCGGAAUGGCCUUCAAAACUCCUGGUCUUGAGUUCGAGAGAGGUGAGUGGAAUUCCGAGUGUAGAGGUGAAAUUCGUAGAUAUUCGGAGGAACACCAGUGGCGAAGGCGGCUCACUGGCUCGACACUGACGCUGAGGUGCGAAAGCGUGGGGAGCAAACAGG